CGAGAAAGUCCGCAAGGAUGAGUACAGUGGCGUCCGGGUGAGUAACACGUGGGAAUCUGCCCUUUGGUGAAGAAUACCCUCGAGAAAUCGAGGCUAAUACUGCAUAAGUCGGUAACGAGAAAGGUGGCCUCUUUGCUACCGCCGAAGGAUGAGCCUGCGGCCUAUUAGUUAGUUGGUGGGGUAAUGGCCUACCAAGACAAAGAUGGGUAACCGGCCUGAGAGGGUGUACGGUCACAAUGGAACUGAAACACGGUCCAUACUCCUACGGGAGGCAGCAGUGGGGAAUAUUGCACAAUGGGCGAAAGCCUGAUGCAGCGACGCCGCGUGGAGGAUGAAGGUCUUCGGAUUGUAAACUCCUGUUAAGUGGGAAAAAAUCACGGCAGAUAAUACCUGAUCGUGGAUGAUGGUACCACUAGAGAAAGUACCGGCAAACUUCGUGCCAGCAGCCGCGGUAAUACGAAGGGUACGAGCGUUAUUCGGAGUUACUGGGCGUAAAGAGCGUGUAGGCGGCUUGUUAAGUUAGUUGUUAAAUUCCCCGGCCUAACUGGGGACAUGCGACUGAAACUGGCGAGCUAGAGUACAGGAGAGAGAAGUAGAAUUCCCGGAGUAGCGGUAAAAUGCGUAGAUCUCGGGAGGAAUACCGAUGGCGAAGGCAGCUUCUUGGCUUGUAACUGACGUUAAAGCGCGAAAGCGUGGGGAGCAAACAGGAUUAGAUACCCUGGUAGUCCACGCUGUAAACGAUGAUCACUAGACGUGGGUUUGACGUUGUCAGAUCUGUGUCGAAGCUAACGCGUUAAGUGA
rnacentral:rRNA from 1 species